UACGUAGGUGGCAAGCGUUAUCCGGAUUUAUUGGGCGUAAGGGGAACGCAGGCGGUCUUUUAAGUCUGAUGUGAAAGCCUUCGGCUUAACCGGAGUAGUGCAUUGGAAACUGGGAGACUUGAGUGCAGAAGAGGAGAGCGGAACUCCAUGUGUAGCGGUGAAAUGCGUAGAUAUAUGGAAGAACACCAGUGGCGAAAGCGGCUCUCUGGUCUGUAACUGACGCUGAGGUUCGAAAGCGUGGGUAGCAAACAGG
rnacentral:rRNA from 1 species